rnacentral:rRNA from 1 species
UACGAAGGGGGCUAGCGUUGCUCGGAAUUACUGGGCGUAAAGCGCACGUAGGCGGCUUCUAAGUCGGGGGUGAAAGCCCAGGGCUCAACCCUGGAAUUGCCUUCGAUACUGGACAUCUUGAGUGCGGGAGAGGUGAGUGGAACUCCGAGUGUAGAGGUGAAAUUCGUAGAUAUUCGGAAGAACACCAGUGGCGAAGGCGACUCAACUGGCCCGUUACUGACGCUGAUGCGCGAAACGUGGGAGCAACAGGGAUUGAAGAA